AAAAGUUACCACAGGGAU
rnacentral:ncRNA from 2 species